rnacentral:rRNA from 1 species
GAUGAACGCUGGCGGCGUGCCUAAUACAUGCAAGUAGAACGCUGAAGGAAGGAGCUUGCUCUUUCCGGAUGAGUUGCGAACGGGUGAGUAACGCGUAGGUAACCUGCCUGGUAGCGGGGGAUAACUAUUGGAAACGAUAGCUAAUACCGCAUAACAGUAGAUGUUGCAUGAUAUCUAAUUAAAAGGUGCAAUUGCACCACUACCAGAUGGACCUGCGUUGUAUUAGCUAGUUGGUGAGGUAACGGCUCACCAAGGCGACGAUACAUAGCCGACCUGAGAGGGUGAUCGGCCACACUUGGACUGAGACACGGCCCAGACUCCUACGGGAGGCAGCAGUAGGGAAUCUUCGGCAAUGGACGGAAGUCUGACCGAGCAACGCCGCGUGAGUGAAGAAGGUUUUCGGAUCGUAAAGCUCUGUUGUAAGGGAAGAACGAGUGUGAGAGUGGAAAGUUCACACUGUGACGGUAUCUUACCAGAAAGGGACGGCUAACUACGUG